UACUAGAGUAGCACUCGCAUAUCAAUAAGCGGAGGAAAAGAAACUAACAAGGGAUUCCCCUAGUAACGGCGAGUGAAGCGGGAAGAGCUCAAAUUUGAAAUCUUAAAGGGUUUCCCUUUACGAAUUGUAGUUUAAAGAAGUGUUUUCUGUUGAGGUUUUGGUAAAAGUUCUUUGGAAUAGGACAUCAUAGAGGGUGAGAAUCCCGUAUUUGACCUUUACUUUCAACUUUGUGAUACACUUUCAAAGAGUCGGAUUGUUUGGGAAUGCAGUCCAAAAUGGGUGGUAAAUUUCAUCUAAAGCUAAAUAUUGGCGAGAGACCGAUAGCGAACAAGUACCGUGAGGGAAAGAUGAAAAGAACUUUGAAAAGAGAGUUAAACAGUACGUGAAAUUGUCAAAAGGGAAGCGUUUGACACCAGUGUUGUUUUUCUGAAAAUCAAUUAAAGAACUGUUUAUGCUAAGUUGUUUAGACUUUAUCAGCUAAUCUGUUUAGUUUUGAGCUUUUCUUUAAUGCACUUUUCAGUUAACAAGUCAACAUCAAUUUCUUUUGCUGUAAAAAAGCUUGAGGAAGGUGGCUUGAGAUUCGUCUUAAGUGUUUAUAGCCUCUUGCCUAUGCAGUCGGAGAGAUUGAGGUCUGCAGCGUAGAUCCUUCGGGGCUAAAUGCAUUUGUGCUAAGUUAUAGCAUUUUAUAGACAACUUGUUGACUAUGAUUUGUCUUGUAGCUUACUCGCUUAUGUUAUUUUACCUACGCUUAGGAUGUUGAACUCUAUCACACACAG
rnacentral:rRNA from 1 species